GGAGAUCAGCAAAGAAAGCAAGAGAAACCAAUGCAGAAAUGUCAUCAGUGAAGCCCAGAGUUAGUAAAGCCUAAGGAAGACCAGCAGAUCCUUGCAUGGCUCCACCCAGCAAAUGACUGAAACAGAGGCAGAGACCCACAAUCACAUAUUGGACGGAGGUCAGGGACUCUAAUGGACAAUUUAGAGGAGGGAAUGAAGACCCAGGAAAGGUUGAAACUCCACAAGAAGACCAACAGAGUCAACUAAUCUGGACACUUGGGGACUCAGAGACUAAACCACCAAUCAAAGAACACACAAUGUCUGCAUCUAUGUCCCCCACACAUACGUAGUAGAUGUUCUGCUCGGUCUUCCUGUGGAUCCCAUAAUUGGAGCUGGGGAUUGUCUGUGGAAUAAAUUCUAGCUGGGAUGA